rnacentral:tRNA from 1 species
GUCGGGAUAGCUCAGUCGGUAGANGCAGAGGACUGAAAAUCCUCGUGUCA